rnacentral:piRNA from 1 species
ACACUGAGGAAGUAGAGGACUGGAAGG